rnacentral:lncRNA from 1 species
AUGCACAAAUCCCAGACACAUUCUGAAAGAGAACAAAGCUGUGGCAACAGGAGACUCACCAAGCCCUUUCCAUCGAUGGACCUCAAAGUCCCAUUUGUGCCUAAGGAGAGCAAUCUGGGGACAGAAGUGGCUUCUGAGCACCUACGGAAGGGAGGAAAAGAGAGAACAACAGUGCCUGGGGACCGCUCCUUGUCAAGGCGAAGCACAGCCUAGGGUGGAUAUCGUUCCAGCAUCUCCCCAGUUCUUCUUCGCCCUCGCAGACUACUUUAUUUAGCUCCAAGUGAGUGCAGAUUUAUGUACCUAUAAAUAAAUACACACGUUA